UAGAGAGUGACCCUUACCUAGAGGAGGAAGAUGGUAGGGCUGAAUUUUUAAGGGUUUUGACUCCAAGAAGCCAAGCAGCUUUGUUUUCUUCUCCUCCUGCUGCUUUGCCUGACAUAUAACAUCACCACGUAGGAGGAAGCUACUGUGGCCUCCUACCAGUCCUUCUCCAUUCACUGGCUUAGUUGGGAUGUCCCGCGUUGAAAAGAACAAAGGAACAAGAAAUAAUAAAAGGGUUCACCACGUAAAAUUAAUAGAUUAAAAAAUUCGAUUGAAAGAUAAGAAAUGAAGAAGCAGGAGCUGUUGAGAGCACAAGACAGCUGCGUGAUAUAGGGGAAGCAGAAGCAGAGUCACAUCUAUGACAGACACGACCAAACUUGGAGCUUUUUUGCAUUCCAGCCUAAAUUUCACAAUUACGACAGACACGACUGCACUCUUCUAUUCAUUGCUGCCAUGAUCUCUGAUUAUCGUUUGCAACCUCUAUGUUGAUUGAGAGGAUACAGUCAAUGUACACAUUAUAUGGAUGCCAUAGUUGUAUCAGAUACAAACUUCGCUUUCAUCAUCAUGGAAACAUAUAUAUUCCUGUAACAAAGAUAUGUUUAUCACAGGAAUGGGCCACAAUGACAUGACUGUCCACUUACUCCAGCUGCUGCAAGAUAAUUGAAAGUAUUUGUAUUUGGUUCCCUUCUAGGCUUAUAGUUAUGGAAGCUAUUGGUUUAGCUAAAAAGAAAAGCAAGAUGAGAGUGUUUCACGAAGAAUUUAGAAAUGAAUACUAUGGGAGUACCUCAUCAUAUCAUAGGUUAGCUAUUUCAGGGA